UGCAGUCGAACGCUGAAGCCUGGUGCUUGCACCGGGUGGAUGAGUGGCGAACGGGUGAGUAACACGUGAGUAACCUGCCCCUGACUUCGGGAUAAGCCCGGGAAACUGGGUCUAAUACCGGAUACGACUGCCGGACGCAUGUCUGGUGGUGGAAAGUUUUUUCGGUUGGGGAUGGGCUCGCGGCCUAUCAGUUUGUUGGUGAGGUAAUGGCUCACCAAGACGACGACGGGUAGCCGGCCUGAGAGGGCGACCGGCCACACUGGGACUGAGACACGGCCCAGACUCCUACGGGAGGCAGCAGUGGGGAAUAUUGCACAAUGGGGGAAACCCUGAUGCAGCGACGCAGCGUGCGGGAUGACGGCCUUCGGGUUGUAAACCGCUUUCAGCAGGGAAGAAGCGCAAGUGACGGUACCUGCAGAAGAAGUACCGGCUAACUACGUGCCAGCAGCCGCGGUAAUACGUAGGGUACGAGCGUUGUCCGGAAUUAUUGGGCGUAAAGAGCUCGUAGGUGGUUGGUCACGUCUGCUGUGGAAACGCAACGCUUAACGUUGCGCGUGCAGUGGGUACGGGCUGACUAGAGUGCAGUAGGGGAGUCUGGAAUUCCUGGUGUAGCGGUGAAAUGCGCAGAUAUCAGGAGGAACACCGGUGGCGAAGGCGGGACUCUGGGCUGUAACUGACACUGAGGAGCGAAAGCAUGGGGAGCGAACAGGAUUAGAUACCCUGGUAGUCCAUGCCGUAAACGUUGGGCACUAGGUGUGGGGGGCAUUCCACGUUCUCCGCGCCGUAGCUAACGCAUUAAGUGCCCCGCCUGGGGAGUACGGUCGCAAGGCUAAAACUCAAAGGAAUUGACGGGGGCCCGCACAAGCGGCGGAGCAUGCGGAUUAAUUCGAUGCAACGCGAAGAACCUUACCAAGGCUUGACAUACACCGGACCGUCCUGGAAACAGGUCCUCUUCUUUGAAGCUGGUGUACAGGUGGUGCAUGGUUGUCGUCAGCUCGUGUCGUGAGAUGUUGGGUUAAGUCCCGCAACGAGCGCAACCCUCGUUCUAUGUUGCCAGCACGUGAUGGUGGGAACUCAUAGGAGACUGCCGGGGUCAACUCGGAGGAAGGUGGGGAUGACGUCAAAUCAUCAUGCCCUUUAUGUCUUGGGCUUCACGCAUGCUACAAUGGCUGGUACAGAGAGAGGCGAACCCGUGAGGGCAAGCGAAUCCCUUAAAGCCAGUCUCAGUUCGGAUCGUAGUCUGCAAUUCGACUACGUGAAGUCGGAGUCGCUAGUAAUCGCAGAUCAGCAACGCUGCGGUGAAUACGUUCCCGGGCCUUGUACACACCGCCCGUCAAGUCACGAAAGUCGGUAACACCCGAAGCCGGUGGCCUAACCGUAAGGAGGGGGCCGU
rnacentral:rRNA from 1 species